ACUCAAAUGAAUAGACGGGGGCUUGCACAAGCGGUGGAGCGUGUGGCUUAAUUCGUCGCUAAGCGAAGAACCUUACCAGGGCUAGAAAUCCUACUGCACGCCGAGCGAAAGCUCGGAAGCCUUCGAGGGUGUAGGACAGGUGAUGCAUGGCUGUCGUCAGUUCGUGGUUUGAACCGUUCCCUUCAGUGGGGUAACGAACGCAACCCUCGUUGCCUGUUAUAUUUGUCAGGCGAGACUGCCCCCUCACGGGGGAGGAAGGUGAGGAUGACGCCAAGUCAGCAUGUCCCUCUGAUGUCCUGGGCUGCACACGCGCUACAAUCGCCACUACAACGGGGCGCAAUGGAGUAAUCCGGAGCAAAUCCUUAAAAGUGGCGCCAGUUCGGAUUGAGGUCUGCAACCCGACCUCAUGAAGCCGGAAUCGCUAGUAAUCGCGGGUCAGCCACACCGCGGUGAAUACGUUCUCAAGCCUUGUACACACCGCCCGU
rnacentral:rRNA from 1 species